rnacentral:rRNA from 1 species
GACGAACGCUGGCGGCGUGCCUAAUACAUGCAAGUAGAACGCACAGUUUAUACCGUAGCUUGCUACACCAUAGACUGUGAGUUGCGAACGGGUGAGUAACGCGUAGGUAACCUGCCUGGUAGCGGGGGAUAACUAUUGGAAACGAUAGCUAAUACCGCAUAAUAUUGAUUAUUGCAUGAUAAUUGAUUGAAAGAUGCUAUUGCAUCACUACCAGAUGGACCUGCGUUGUAUUAGCUAGUAGGUGAGGUAACGGCUCACCUAGGCGACGAUACAUAGCCGACCUGAGAGGGUGAUCGGCCACACUGGGACUGAGACACGGCCCAGACUCCUACGGGAGGCAGCAGUAGGGAAUCUUCGGCAAUGGACGAAAGUCUGACCGAGCAACGCCGCGUGAGUGAAGAAGGUUUUCGGAUCGUAAAGCUCUGUUGUAAGAGAAGAACGGGUGUGAGAGUGGAAAGUUCACACUGUAACGGUAUCUUACCAGAAAGGGACGGCUAACUACGUG